UGGGGAAUUUUGGACAAUGGGCGCAAGCCUGAUCCAGCAAUGCCGCGUGCAGGAUGAAGGCCUUCGGGUUGUAAACUGCUUUUGUACGGAGCGAAAAGGUCUGCCCUAAUACGGUGGGCUCAUGACGGUACCGUAAGAAUAAGCACCGGCUAACUACGUGCCAGCAGCCGCGGUAAUACGUAGGGUGCGAGCGUUAAUCGGAAUUACUGGGCGUAAAGCGUGCGCAGGCGGUUAUAUAAGACAGAUGUGAAAUCCCCGGGCUCAACCUGGGACCUGCAUUUGUGACUGUAUAGCUAGAGUACGGUAGAGGGGGAUGGAAUUCCACGUGUAGCAGUGAAAUGCGUAGAUAUGCGGAGGAACACCGAUGGCGAAGGCAAUCCCCUGGACCUGUACUGACGCUCUUGCACGAAAGCGUGGGGAGCAAACA
rnacentral:rRNA from 1 species